UACGUAGGGCGCAAGCGUUGUCCGGAAUUAUUGGGCGUAAAGAGCUCGUAGGCGGCCUGUUACGUCUGCUGUGAAAUCCCGGGGCUUAACCCCGGGCUUGCAGUCGAUACGGGCAGACUUGAGUUCGGUAGGGGAGACUGGAAUUCCUGGUGUAGCGGUGAAAUGCGCAGAUAUCAGGAGGAACACCGGUGGCGAAGGCGGGUCUCUGGGCCGAUACUAACGCUGAGGAGCGAAAGCGUGGGGAGCGAACAGG
rnacentral:rRNA from 1 species